rnacentral:lncRNA from 1 species
CAGAAGCUGUGCCCUCCCCCUUCCUGAGCCUUCAAGGGUGAAGCUAAAGUAAGCAGAGCCAACAGUGGCUGAGGGAAGAGCUUCUAGAAUCAGGAGUAGCACCUUCCUGGCCAUCUACAACCCAGAGUCAGAGA